rnacentral:lncRNA from 1 species
UAUGAUUCUAUCAAGUGAUCAGCAGGACAUUGGAGAGGUCACCAAUAAAGAUAUUAAAGAGGACAGGCCCCAGCACCGACCCCUGGGGAACACCACUCGUGACCGGUCGCCAGCUGGAUUUAACUCCAUUCACCACCACUCUCUGGGCCCGGCCCUCCAGCCAGUUCCUUACCCAGCGAAGAAUGUAUCUGUCCAAGCCACGAUCUGCCAGCUUCUGGAGGAGAAUACUGUGCGAGACAGCGUCAAAGGCUUUGCUGAAGUCUAGGUAGACCACAUCAACAGCCUUUCCCUCAUCCAGCAGACGGGUCACUGGAUCAUAGAAGGAGAUCAGCCCUUCUUGUAGAUGGGAUUCACAUUGGCAAGCCUCCAGACUUCUGGGACCUCACCCGUCAACAAGGAGCACUGAUAGAUGAUGGAAAGCGGCUCGGCUAUCACCUCUGCCAGUUCUCUCA